UAUGCAAAAAAAAUUCAAAAUUCUUCUUUUUUCAUAUUUUAAAAUGUUUUUCAUGUUCUUUGGAAGGUAUUUGUGUGUUAAAUCUUUGUUAUAAAACAGUUGCUUGAUUUUUCCCCUUUUUGUUUAGUUGUACUCGUUUUUUGUGGACUUUCUGAUAAACUCCGGAAUACAAGAUUUUCAUUGAAAACAUUUAACUUUAAAAGAAAAUUUGUUAUAUUAAAAUGUACAUAACACUCAUUUCAGUAGCAAACAAUAAAUUGUAACUUAAAGCAUUAGAUCGCGAGGACAAUGUGGAUCCUAGAAUAGAAAAGUAAUAGUUUUAUAGGGUAAGUGUACCAGUAGUCGGCACUUUUAGGAUUUUCGCGUUUUUAAUCGCUCACCAUUCUGAGUGGAACUUUUCAAUUAUUACAAAGUUAAUUAAUUCAGAUUCGAAAUUUUGUAUAGUUUUUGCAAUAAUAAAUAAAGUUUUAAUAACUUUUUAUUAAAUUUCAUAAAUUUGUAGUUUUUUUAAAACAAUGUUUUUUUUUCCAGUAGUCGGCACCACUUGCUAAUUGUCGGUAUGGCAUGUUCCAACAGUCGGCAUACCAAAUUUUUUUUAAACUGAUUCGACGUCUUUAUUGUAUCUUAAGAAUAUGGAUUGUUGAGGACCUUCACAGACAAAAAUUUAAUUUUUAUUAGAAUAAAUCAUCUUUUCUUAGCGAAAUUGAACACAAAGAUAGCUGACAAUAUAUUUGAAGUAAACAAAAUAUA